GGUCUCAGCGUCUCCAAUGGAAAGGACCAACUUGUCGUGUUCCACACAAAAGACAACAAAGACCUAAUUGUCUGCCUCUUCAGCAAACAGCCAACCCACGAGAGUCGAAUUGGAGAACUGGUUGGAGUCCUGGUGAAUCAUUUCAAGAGUGAGAAGCGCCACCUGCAAGUCAAUGUCACCAACCCCGUCCAGUGCAGCCUGCACGGGAAGAAGUGCACAGUCUCCGUGGAGACACGGCUCAACCAGCCGCAGCCUGACUUCACCAAGAAUCGCUCGGGCUUCAUCCUCAGUGUGCCCGGCAAUUGAGGCGCAGGGGGACGAGGGCUGCCCGCCCAGCCGCCACUAGACGCCCGCUCGUCAGGGUCCAGGCUGGGAGGAAGCCCCCUGCCUCCCCUGCGAAUCCCCCCCGAGGGCCAGCCCGGCUUCUGCCUUUGAUCUCUGUCUUCCUCUGUCCCGACUGUCCACGGCCCCCUCAACAAAUCAAAGACCCUGUGUCCAGCCCAGCCUGCAGCAGCCCCUCCAAAACAGCUCCCCUCUGGUCAGCGAGGGCCACCCCCAUGCCAGGUCAGAUCGGCCUGCCUGGCCCUGUGACUGGCCCUGCCAGGGGAGGGCUGGGGGAGCCUGGAUGUCGUUUCCAACCAAAGCCAAGCCCCUGGAGUUGGGGGCGGCUGUGGGGAGGUAGCCCUGCCUUCUCUCUGGGGCCAGCUGCCCCUUCCUCCCCAAGGUGAUGGCAACCCCACGCCCUGGUUCAGGGAGCUUCUCAGAGCUCCCCAUGAACCCCCUCUCCCCAGCAGCCCGCCGAGACCACCAGGUGAGCAGGUUCACCCGGAGAACCAGCCCCUCCGCCCAGGAGCCCCUGGCCAAAGGAACCAUGCCGCCCAGCGGGCAGUCUGUCCCGCUCGGAGCCGGCCCAGCCCCUUGACCCUCUGCCCAGAGAGCAUGGUUCGGGGACGCUCCAGGAAUCAUCCUACUUAUCCACGCAGCCCAGGCCAUGGUAGUCUUACACUCAUUUCUGCAGUUAGGAGCAGGGUUACUAACCAGACACCACGUCCGCUCUACCCACACUGGUGUCAGGAACACUAAUAAAAUGGAAUAAAAGGGGAGCACUCGGGGGUCUGGAAGUCUUCCCCCUCCAAUGCCUCUGCCUCACACUCACGUGGAGAACCAGGCCAGGGGCGGGAGGGUCGAGGCCCACAGGAACUUGGGGAACGGGAGCGAUAGGAAAGAGAGCGGGGGUCCUGGCACUGCGGGCCAGGCCAGGAUGCCCACCCAGGCUAGGAGAGUGGUCACCCUGCCAGUCCCUGCCCUGCAGAGCGUACGUGUGCUCCAGACGCCCCGGGACCACGCCGCACUCCCCUGGGCAGCCCCAGGCCUCCCAGCCUGGAACCUUCAAGAGUCAAGACCCAGGCACCCCAUGUGGUGAAGGAGGCGCUAAGAAUGAGCCCACGCCCCAGGUGGAGCCAGACAGGGUGUCGAAAAGAACACUGUUUCGCCGCUGGGGCUCCUCCCCAACCCCCUGCAUGCUCCUCCCCGCUCCCCAUCUCCACGCCCCUCCCACCCCACACCCCAGCCCCGCCUGGCACACCCAGGGCCCGCUGCCGCGAUGCCGAGCACAUGCACACCCCAUAGCAUCCACAGCACAAGAGCCCUGCUGCCAUCCAGGUCUCUGAAACCCACUCUCAUCCUCCAAGCCUGGUCAGCUGCCCGCACAGGGCCCCAUUCAGCAACACCCACAGCUUUGCCAACUGCCUUACACUAUCGGUCCUCCCUAACUGGAACAUCGCCUCUCCUUUCCAAUUACUGCCCCCAAACUUGUUGCUUUACUAGAUACAUGCAAAGGUUAUGUUUUAGACACACCAAAACAGAAUAUGCCAAAUGAGUGCCUUUUGGAGGCUGGAGAGGAAGGGGGAGUCCGGAGUCCCACCUCCCACCGUUGGGUGUGGCCUCUGGCCUUGAGCUCAGCGCCUCCCAGCUGAGGGCCGAUGCGCCAGCACCAUCCACAAGCACUUUUUCAUGAUGUCCUGCAAGAAGUCACAGUGUGUGUGGCCACUGAAGGAAAGAAUUCCAGGUGUGAUCACGGUGCGAAGGCAAAGCAGGAGGGACACAGUGAUUGUAUGCAAUGAAGUGUUUUCUCGUGAUUUAGUUAAAUGUGGUUUUAUGGUUUGGUGCGUAUAUUCCUAUUUUCCAUUAAAUUAACUUUAUUUCUAAAGCAUAUUUUGAUUUAUCAUCAAGAGCAAUAAAGCAUUAAAUCUUACUCUUAAA